rnacentral:rRNA from 1 species
CUGCUCAGAUUGAACGCUGGCGGCAGGCCUUAACACAUGCAAGUCGAGCGGUAGCACAGAGAGCUUGCUCUCGGGUGACGAGCGGCGGACGGGUGAGUAAUGUCUGGGAAACUGCCUGAUGGAGGGGGAUAACUACUGGAAACGGUAGCUAAUACCGCAUAAUGUCGCAAGACCAAAGUGGGGGACCUUCGGGCCUCAUGCCAUCAGAUGUGCCCAGAUGGGAUUAGCUAGUAGGUGGGGUAACGGCUCACCUAGGCGACGAUCCCUAGCUGGUCUGAGAGGAUGACCAGCCACACUGGAACUGAGACACGGUCCAGACUCCUACGGGAGGCAGCAGUGGGGAAUAUUGCACAAUGGGCGCAAGCCUGAUGCAGCCAUGCCGCGUGUGUGAAGAAGGCCUUCGGGUUGUAAAGCACUUUCAGCGGGGAGGAAGGCGGUGAGGUUAAUAACCUCACCGAUUGACGUUACCCGCAGAAGAAGCACCGGCUAACUCCGUGCCAGCAGCCGCGGUAAUACGGAGGGUGCAAGCGUUAAUCGGAAUUACUGGGCGUAAAGCGCACGCAGGCGGUCUGUCAAGUCGGAUGUGAAAUCCCCGGGCUCAACCUGGGAACUGCAUUCGAAACUGGCAGGCUAGAGUCUUGUAGAGGGGGGUAGAAUUCCAGGUGUAGCGGUGAAAUGCGUAGAGAUCUGGAGGAAUACCGGUGGCGAAGGCGGCCCCCUGGACAAAGACUGACGCUCAGGUGCGAAAGCGUGGGGAGCAAACAGGAUUAGAUACCCUGGUAGUCCACGCCGUAAACGAUGUCGAUUUGGAGGUUGUGCCCUUGAGGCGUGGCUUCCGGAGCUAACGCGUUAAAUCGACCGCCUGGGGAGUACGGCCGCAAGGUUAAAACUCAAAUGAAUUGACGGGGGCCCGCACAAGCGGUGGAGCAUGUGGUUUAAUUCGAUGCAACGCGAAGAACCUUACCUGGUCUUGACAUCCACAGAACUUUCCAGAGAUGGAUUGGUGCCUUCGGGAACUGUGAGACAGGUGCUGCAUGGCUGUCGUCAGCUCGUGUUGUGAAAUGUUGGGUUAAGUCCCGCAACGAGCGCAACCCUUAUCCUUUGUUGCCAGCGGUUAGGCCGGGAACUCAAAGGAGACUGCCACUGAUAAACUGGAGGAAGGUGGGGAUGACGUCAAGUCAUCAUGGCCCUUACGACCAGGGCUACACACGUGCUACAAUGGCAUAUACAAAGAGAAGCGACCUCGCGAGAGCAAGCGGACCUCAUAAAGUAUGUCGUAGUCCGGAUUGGAGUCUGCAACUCGACUCCAUGAAGUCGGAAUCGCUAGUAAUCGUAGAUCAGAAGGCUACGGUGAAUACGUUCCCGGGCCUUGUACACCCCCUCAACGGCACACCAUGGGAGUGGGUUGCAAAAGAAGUAGGUAUGUUAA